GAACUGGCUCGCGAAGACCAGUAGUUCCAGAGCCACUCUGGGCCACAACUGUCUGCACCUGACAGUUCUUGGAGAGUUGGAGACCGUUGACCAGGCUGAGGGCUGACACAGGGCGCCUCGGAACGCCCUGUCCCUGCGUCAUGUGGCCAUCCCUGGUGUUGCUGUUUCUGCUGCUUCCUGCUGCCCAUGGCGCCCCUCACCCGGCUGCCGACCUCCAGGAAAGCUUUCCAAGCGUACUCGAAGGUUUUCACCGGCCUGUAGUGGAGAUCCAAACUGAAGGAGACAGAGGCCUGUGGAGGGAAGACAACCCGUUUGCUGGCCCCCGCUGUCCUCCUGGCUCAUGAGGUGGCUGCUGUGUGGUCCAGAAGCUGGGGCCGAGGACCUGCGGCCUCAUGAGGGCCUACCAGGCACAGGAUUAGGGGCUCCUGCUCCCAAGACCCACUUCUUGUCCCCCUCUGAGGCCCUUGAGCUGCUGAAGGGGCUGGGGGUGAACACCAGUAUCCUAGCAGGGACAGAUGUGGACCUCACCAGACCCAUCUGCAGCACCACUUAAAAAUAAAAGUUAUUUCUUCAA